rnacentral:lncRNA from 10 species
GCCGCCUGCCUUGGCCUCCCAAAGUGCCGAGAUUGCAGUCUCUGCCCGGCCGCCACCCCGUCUGGGAAGUGAGAAGCGUCUCUGCCUGGCCGCCCAUCGUCUGGGAUGUGAGGAGCCCCUCUGCCCGGCUGCCCAGUCUGGGAAGUGAGGAGCGCCUCCUCCCGGCCACCAUCCCGUCCAGGAAGUGAGGAGCGUCUCUGCCCGGCCGCCCAUCGUCUGAGAUGUGGGGAGCUCCUCUGCCCCGCCGCCCUGUCUGGGAUGUGAGGAGCGCCUCUGCCCGGCCGCGACCCCGUCUGGGAACUGAUGAGUGUCUCUGCCCGAUCGCCACCCCAUCUGGGAGAGGAAAGGCCAUGUAAGGACAGAGCAAACAGGCAACUGUCUGCAAACCAGGAAGAGAGGCCUCACCAGAUAUCAACCUUCAUGGCACCUUGAUCUUGAUCUUUCCAGACUGUGAGAAAAUUAACUUCUGUUGUUGUUUAAGCUGCCCUCCAACUCCGUCUGUAGUAUUUUGUUACGGCAGCCCAAACAGACUAAUACAUCAAGUAACCACACAAAUGCAUGUACAAUUAAAACUGACCUAACUGUUAAGAAGAGGAGAUAGGGCAAGAGUAUAUUUAUCGAGGGUAUUCUAUCUGGUCAGAGAUGAGAGAGAAAGAUUUUUCUGGGUAAAGUUAACAAGGUAUAUAGGGUGGGGUGAAUAUGGAGUGGGGAAUGGUCCCAGAUAGGGCCAAUUGCUUGUGCAAAGGCCCUGGGGUGAGACAGAGCACAGUUUAUUAGAGAAACCAAGUGGCAGCUGUGUGAUUGGGGUGCUAAGAGUGAAGAGGAAGGUGAUACAGGUGAGGGUGGAGAAGAGGGUGAGGCCUAACUUCCCAGGACCAUGCAGGAUUUUCACUGCUAACUUGGGCCACUUGCACACCAGACUGGAGCUGGAAAUGGUGGGUAUGGGAGACAGAGAUCAAAAUAACCUCUAGAUGUCCACUUGCAUAGCUGGUAGGUCACGGGACCAUUCAUGAUAGGGAAGCCCAGGAGAGAACCAGAUUUCAAAGAGAAAGUCAUGAAUUUGCACGUGUCAAGCUUGUUGUGCUUUUGAGUCACUUAGAAAGAGACAUUUGUUUGCGGACCUAUCUACAAGUCUAGACUCAGACAGAGACCUGAGUCAUGUCAUUACACUGACAAGGUGGGAGAGGUGAUUCGGGACAGUCAUUCUCAGACUUUGAGUUUCAAGACCCCUUUACACUCUUAAAAACCAUCAAGGACCUCAAAGAGCUUCUGUUUAUGUGGGUUAUAUCUGUCCAUAUUUACUGUAUUAGAAAUGUAAACUGAAAUAUUAAUAUUAAUUUAUAAUAAACCUGUUUUACCUUAACAUAAAAAAAAGAAAUAAAACAUGCAAAAAUAUUUUACUACAGAUUAAUUUUGUUCUGAAAUUUUAUCUUGGUAUAUAACAAUAGUAACAUUUUAUCUAUAUAUUUGUUUCCCAAGAUCAAGAAGAGAAUUCACGCAAAGCCAUGGAUUAGUCUGGGUUAAUGCCAUGAAUUGAAGAGGCUUCCCUUCUGAAAUAUUGCAUGGGAUCAGAGGGGUUUCUUACCUCGGACACCAAGUGUCACUAC